CACGUAGGGUGCGAGCGUUGUCCGGAAUUAUUGGGCGUAAAGAGCUCGUAGGCGGUGUGUCGCGUCGGCCGUGAAACCUGCAGCUUAACUGUGGGCUUGCGGUCGAUACGGGCAUCACUGGAGUUCGGCAGGGGAGACUGGAAUUCCUGGUGUAGCGGUGAAAUGCGCAGAUAUCAGGAGGAACACCGGUGGCGAAGGCGGGUCUCUGGGCCGUAACUGACGCUGGAGGAGCGAAAGCAUGGGAGCGAACAGG
rnacentral:rRNA from 1 species